UAGGGAAUCUUCCACAAUGGACGAAAGUCUGAUGGAGCAACGCCGCGUGAGUGAAGAAGGGUUUCGGCUCGUAAAACUCUGUUGUUAAAGAAGAACGUAUCUGAGAGUAACUGUUCAGGUAUUGACGGUAUUUAACCAGAAAGCCACGGCUAACUACGUGCCAG
rnacentral:rRNA from 1 species